UACGUAGGUGGCAAGCGUUGUCCGGAUUAUUGGGUUUAAAGGGUGCGUAGGCGGUCUAUUAAGUCAGUGCUGAAAUAUCCCGGCUUAACCGGGAGGGUGGCAUUGAUACUGAUGGACUUGAGUGCGGUCGAGGUAGGCGGAAUUGACGGUGUAGCGGUGAAAUGCUUAGAUAUCGUCAAGAACACCGAUAGUGAAGACAGCUUACUAGACUGUAACUGACGCUGAGGCACGAAAGUGUGGGGAUCAAACAGG
rnacentral:rRNA from 1 species